AUUGAACGCUGGCGGCAUGCUUUACACAUGCAAGUCGAACGGUAACAGGCCGCAAGGUGCUGACGAGUGGCGAACGGGUGAGUAAUGCAUCGGAACGUGCCCAGUCGUGGGGGAUAACGCAGCGAAAGCUGCGCUAAUACCGCAUACGAUCUAUGGAUGAAAGCGGGGGACCGAAAGGCCUCGCGCGAUUGGAGCGGCCGAUGUCAGAUUAGGUAGUUGGUGGGGUGAAGGCUCACCAAGCCAACGAUCUGUAGCUGGUCUGAGAGGACGACCAGCCACACUGGGACUGAGACACGGCCCAGACUCCUACGGGAGGCAGCAGUGGGGAAUUUUGGACAAUGGGCGCAAGCCUGAUCCAGCAAUGCCGCGUGCAGGAAGAAGGCCUUCGGGUUGUAAACUGCUUUUGUGCGGAACGAAAAGGCUCUGGUUAAUACCUGGGGCUCAUGACGGUACCGUAAGAAUAAGCACCGGCUAACUACGUGCCAGCCGCCGCAGUAAAAC
rnacentral:rRNA from 1 species